rnacentral:rRNA from 1 species
AGGAAGCACCGGCUAACUCCGUGCCAGCAGCCGCGGUAAUACGGAGGGUGCAAGCGUUGUUCGGAAUUACUGGGCGUAAAGGGCGCGUAGGUGGCUAAUUAAGUCAGGUGUGAAAUCCUUCCGCUUAACGGGAGAAGUGCACUUGAAACUGCUUAGCUAGAGUACGGGAGAGGAAGGUGGAAUUCCUGGUGUAGAGGUGAAAUUCAUAGAUAUCGGGAAGAACACCGGUGGCGAAGGCGGCCUUCUGGCCCGUUACUGACGCUGAGGCGCGAAAGCGAGGGGAGCAAACAGGAUUAGAUACCCUGGUAGUCCACGCCGUAAACGUUGGGCACUAGGUGUGGGAGGUUUUUAUUCCUUCUUUGCCGAAGCUAACGCA